GGCCUGAUAUUUUAACUGGUAGAAUGCUGCACCUGCAUUGCCGAGGUUUGGAUUCAAAUACCCAUUCAGGCCU
rnacentral:tRNA from 1 species